AAUUAACUGCUGCUGGAAAUGUGCUGUGCGCUCCUGCAGCUAAAGCCUGUGCCUCCCGCCUCCACCACCACCAACUCCCUGCCGGGAUCACGUUCAGGUGGGGGCUAUUUUUUCCAUGUUGGCACCCCGGAUUCGGGUUUCACACAGCCAAUGCUGGAUUCAACAUGCACUGUGGAAAUAAGAUAUUGACACAAGUUCUUUAGAAGAAGAAAAGUAACACCAUUUCCAUAGUUGUUAUUCCUAUUAUCCGACUAGAAGCGGCAUCAAAUAUGGAGGGGGGGAUGUCAAUUCCACACCAGAAGCAGCUGAAAAGGAUGAAGAUGACUCCAUCCCAGUGCCUAGUACUCAAAGUAUUAGUAAGGAAUCAAAGUCUUAAUCACUUUAUUAAAUCUCAUCUCA